rnacentral:lncRNA from 1 species
UUUUUUUUUUUGGUGCUGGGGAUUGAACCCAGGGCCUUGUGAAUGCAAGGCAAGCACUCUACCAACUGAGCUAUAUGCCCAGCCCAAAAUUCUAUCUUUAUUACUGUAGCUACCUAGUACUUUUAGUUUUCGGUGCUGGGGAUCAAACUAACAUGCUAGGCAAGCGCUUUACUACUGUGCUGCAUACUCAGUCUUGUAAUUCUCUUUAAUAUCCAGAAGAGCAGUUCUUCCAAUUCUCUCUUCCAAUUUCAUUAUCAAUUAUUUUUAACAAAUGCUAAUGAGAAGAGUAGCAGCUGUAAUAAAAUAACAUGUUUUCAUCUCUAACAUGUGCAGUUAGCAUGAUAAUGGCAGGAAUAUGUAGACCAAAUAUCAUGACAGAAUUAUAGUAAAGAAUAUAGUCAAGAAGGAAAAAAAAGGGGGGCAUCUGUAUAGGUUUAAAAAAAUGGCAAAGAAAAUAUCAAGAGGAGAGAGGUCUCCACUUCCAGAUUAUUAUUCUCAUUAUUAUUUUUGUCCUUGGGUUGAAUUUUCUUUCUUUUCAUAUCACAAUUAAAAUGACUGAAGAAACACAAAAUUAGGGGAAAUAUGUGUAUUGGCACAUGCCACGCAUAAAAUAGAAAUUACUUCAAAAUAUUAUGCAGGUGAAAGGAAACAAAUAAUAGAAAUACCUACAAGUAUGGCUGUCAGAGCAGCAAAUGGAUUAUGGGUCUUGGAACUGCCCAGAGACAGAAGCCCCUCUGGAGAACUCUCAGCACCAAGGGGCCAGCGGAGAUUGCCCAGUUGCCAAGGGGAAUUCCUUGCUAGCUAAGGAAUUUUAUCAGUUCAUAACUGUAGAUUCCAACACCUGCUGCCCAGUAGAGAGUCAUGGGCACACGCUGAUAAGCCCAAACUAGGCUGUUUUAGCCCCAACUUCAGUUUUGUUUAUCUUGAAGAUCCUUUCUCACAGUAAAUCCUUUUGAUGUCUAGACUAUAUAGUAAUCGUGUGGCACUUGGUUGUGGUAAGUCUUCCUCCACCAGGAGUCUGCUGAACCACCAAGCCCCCACUUUCUCUCUACUCUUGUGUCUGUUCAUCUUUUCUUAUUCCCUUCAUUGCCUGGUUUGGGAAACAGUAAAUGGCUGUGCAGGACGUUAAAUGAGAAUGAAAUGAGGAACAUCUCUGGUAUUGAAGCCUGAGCAUCGGGGACUGAAGGUGAGCAUGUUUCAUGGGGCUACCACAAGGUGGGUUACUAGAAACUAUAUGGUUAACCCUGGGGAAUUAGCAGGUGUCAGGAUAUAAAUUUAAGGUGAAAAAUACUAAAUGUAAACUUUAAAAAAAGACACAAGAGGGGCUGUGGUUGUGGCUCACUGGUAGAGCACUCAUUUAGAAUGUGUGAAGCACUGGGUUCGAUCCUCUGCACCACAUAAAAAUAAAUAAAUAAAGUAAAAAUAUUGUGUCCAACUACAACUAAAAAUAAAUAAAUAAAUAAUUUUUAAAAAAUAGAGACAAGAGGCCUGAAAUCAAUUGACCUAGACAACCACCCCAAUCUAUUCUUCCUAGACUAUCAGGCAUGAAUCAAUGGUUCAGAAAAUCUGAAAAGAACUUCCAAGCCGGACUUGGUACCACCUUAGUAGUGAUGAACUAUUAUUCACUAUUAUUUAUGUCCAACCCUUCCUGAGGAAGAGUACAACUCCCAUUAUUAAUAGCUGCUUUGAGGGGGAACAUAUUAAAGUGUGCAUGGGAACAUGGGUAACUUGCUGUAUCUCUCUUUAGAGCUUGCCCCAAACUCAUCCUUCUCCCUUAAGAAUCACUUAUCUACCUAUUUUUGGGUUUCCAGAAACUAGAGGAAAUUGUAGACUUUCACAAAUCCCAGGUCUGACCCAGUGACCUCUCUGAUCUCAGGUGGAGACUCUCUGAUGAUGUCAUUUGACCAAUCAACUCUCCUCUAAUUGCUUAACAGCCACACAUAUAACCUGCUUAUGCUGAAAUCUCAGAGGACUAUCACUUGGACCCUUUGGAGCUGAGAAGAGCUACAAGAACCUAUGUGGAGUGUGUGUGUGUGUGUGUGUGUGUGUGUGUAUUCACUAUAGAAAAACUAGAAAUAAGAAUAAGUCAGAGAGAAAUAAAAAUCACGAAUUUUCAUCACUAAGAUGAUUGCUACUUUCUAUGCAUGUGCUCACACAUACAUAAAUAUAUGCUAUUUAAAAUAUAACAUUUUCUAUUUUAAUAUUUUUGUUAUGUUUUCAUACCAUUCAAUAUUGUAGUAAGAUAUUUGUGUGGUAUGUUUGGAUAUAUCGUAACUUAUAAAUGACUUAUUUGAGGGCUGAUUUGACAAACAGUUUUGCAGCGAACCUCCUUGUCUCUAAGUCAAUAUUUUGGAUAGCAUCACUAGUUUAGAUAAAUGAAACCUGUUAUUCUUGGUUGUUUUUGUUUGUUUGUUUGUUUUGUUUUGUUUUUUGAC